UGUAGUUUGGUGUAAUUGCAUGUUGUGGUUUGGUCACAGAGGUGGUUAGUUGCUGACUGCAU
rnacentral:tRNA from 1 species